rnacentral:rRNA from 1 species
CACGAAGUUAGCCGGUGCUUAUUCUUUGGGUACCGUCAUUCUCUCCGGGUAUUAACCGGAAAGUUUUCUUUCCCAACAAAGGGCUUUACAACCCGAAGGCCUUCUUCACCCACGCGGCAUGGCUGGAUCAGGCUUUCGCCCAUUGUCCAAUAUUCCCCACUGCUGCCUCCCGUAGGAGUCUGGACCGUGUCUCAGUUCCAGUGUGGCUGAUCAUCCUCUCAGACCAGCUACCGAUCGUCGCCUUGGUGGGCCUUUACCCCGCCAACUAGCUAAUCGGACAUCGGCUCAUCCAAUCGCGCAAGGUCUUUCGAUCCCCUGCUUUCACCCGGAGGUCGUAUGCGGUAUUAGCGUAAGUUUCCCUACGUUAUCCCCCACGACAGGGUAGAUUCCGAUGUAUUCCUCACCCGUCCGCCACUCGCCACCCAGAGAGCAGGCUCUCCUGUGCUGCCGUUCGACUUGCAUGUGUUAGGCCUGCCGCCAGCGUUCACUCUGAGCCAGGAUCAAACUC